rnacentral:rRNA from 1 species
AGAGCACUGUUUGGACUAGGGGCCCUUCUCGGGUUACCGAAUUCAGAUAAACUCCGAAUGCCAUGUACUUAUACUCGGGAGUCAGACUGCGAGUGAUAAGAUCCGUAGUCGAAAGGGAAACAGCCCAGACCACCAGUUAAGGUCCCCAAAUAUAUGUUAAGUGGAAAAGGAUGUGGGGUUGCUUAGACAACCAGGAUGUUGGCUUAGAAGCAGCCACCAUUGAAAGAGUGCGUAAUAGCUCACUGGUCGAGUGACCCCGCGCCGAAAAUGUACCGGGGCUAAACAUAUUACCGAAACUGUGGAUGAACCUCUUCGGAGGUUCGUGGUAGGAGAGCGUUCUAAGGGCGGUGAAGUCAGACCGGAAGGACUGGUGGAGCGCUUAGAAGUGAGAAUGCCGGUAUGAGUAGCGAAAGAAGGGUGAGAAUCCCUUCCACCGAAUAUCUAAGGUUUCCUGAGGAAGGCUCGUCCGCUCAGGGUUAGUCGGGACCUAAGCCGAGGCCGAUAGGCGUAGGCGAUGGACAACAGGUAGAGAUUCCUGUACCAGUGCUAAUUGUUUAACCGAUGGGGUGACACAGAAGGAUAGGGAAUCGCACGAAUGGAAAUGUGCGUCCAAGCAGUGAGUGUGAGAAGUAGGCAAAUCCGCUUCUCGCGAAGCAUGAGCUGUGAUGGGGAAGGAAAUUAAGUACGGAAGUUCCUGAUUUCACGCUGUCAAGAAAAGCCUCUAGGA